CAAGCCCCACCUGCAGAGUCAAGUCCCUCCUCCCACCUCAGCACUGCUAGAAAAGAGCUUCAGGAUGGAGCCACACAUGCCACUCAAGCCCAAGGGUCAGUCAACAGCCCACAGCCCUAAACUCAUCUGUGUCCAAUGCCAGACCCAGCAACUGCUGAUUUACAUGAAUCAACUCCAUCAUGCAAGCCUCAUGACAUCCCAAUGAGCCACCAUCCUGUGAGGAAGCCCAGAGCACAUGAAGAGACCACCUGCACAUGUUCAGAUCCACUGCCCCAGCUAAGAUCUCCGCUGACAGCCAGACCAAUCACCAAUCUUAGGAGCUGGCGAGCCUUCAGAUGGUCCAACCUUUGAGGCCCCCCAGAGGAGCCAGGUGGAGCAUAGAUGAGCCAUCCAUGUGGAUCCCUCCACCAAAUGGAAGAUUUAGGAGCAAAAUAAACAAUGUUGUCAUUGCUUUCACCCACGAA
rnacentral:lncRNA from 1 species